rfam:Fukomys damarensis contig85576, whole genome shotgun sequence.
AAAUAUUAUAUAUCUUUUAAAAUUUAUCUAGCAGAUUUUCUGAGUUUUGCUGGAAACCUCCCC